rnacentral:rRNA from 1 species
GUUUAACGCUUGCGGUGCGCCUAACACAUGUAAGUCGUGCGAUCGAGCCGAACUGAGUUUCCUUCGGGAGACGAUGAUUGGUGACGGAGCGGCGGACGGGUGAGUAACGCGUGGCUAACCUACCCUCUUGACGGGGACAACCACCCGAAAGGGCGGCUAAUACCCGAUGUUGUUUGGAACCGAUGGGUUCCUUUCCAAAGGCGGUCCUGCCGCCGCAAGAGGAUGGGGCUGCGUCCUAUUAGCUAGUUGGUGAGGUAACGGCCCACCAAGGCUUCGAUGGGUAGCUGGUCUGAGAGGACGACCAGCCACAUUGGGACUGAGAUACGGCCCAGACUCCUACGGGAGGCAGCAGUGGGGAAUCUUGGCCAAUGGACGAAAGUCUGAGCCAGCGACACCGCGUGGGGGAUGACGGCCUUCGGGUUGUAAACCUCUUUUCUGGGGAAAGAAUAAGGACGGGAGAAAUGCCCGUUCGAUGACGGUACUCCAGGAAUAAGCAUC